rnacentral:rRNA from 1 species
UGAAUGUGAAAAGCCCCCGGCUUAACCGGGGAGGGUCCAUUCGGAAAACCGGGGAAACUUUGAGUGCAGAAAGAGGAGAGUCGGAAAUUCCACGCGUAGCGGUGAAAAUCGCGUAGAGAUCGUCGGAGGAAACACCAGUGGCGAAGGCGACUCUCUGGUCUGUAACUGACGCUGAGGAGCGAAAGCGUGGGGAGCGAACAGGAUUAGAUACCCUGGUAGUCCACGCCGUAAACGAUGAGUGCUAAGUGUUAGGGGGUUUCCGCCCCUUAGUGCUGCAGCUAACGCAUUAAGCACUCCGCCUGGGGAGUACGGUCGCAAGACUGAAACUCAAAGGAAUUGACGGGGGCCCGCACAAGCGGUGGAGCAUGUGGUUUAAUUCGAAGCAACGCGAAGAACCUUACCAGGUCUUGACAUCCUCUGACAAUCCUAGAGAUAGGACGUCCCCUUCGGGGGCAGAGUGACAGGUGGUGCAUGGUUGUCGUCAGCUCGUGUCGUGAGAUGUUGGGUUAAGUCCCGCAACGAGCGCAACCCUUGAUCUUAGUUGCCAGCAUUCAGUUGGGCACUCUAAGGUGACUGCCGGUGACAAACCGGAGGAAGGUGGGGAUGACGUCAAAUCAUCAUGCCCCUUAUGACCUGGGCUACACACGUGCUACAAUGGACAGAACAAAGGGCAGCGAAACCGCGAGGUUAAGCCAAUCCCACAAAUCUGUUCUCAGUUCGGAUCGCAGUCUGCAACUCGACUGCGUGAAGCUGGAAUCGCUAGUAAUCGC